UUUCCGUUGGUGAACCUGCGGAAGGAUCAUUAAUAAUAAGUGAUUUACGGCACUUUGUUCAUCCAUAUCCACCUUGGCUGUUAUGUCAGGGUUGCUUUUUCUCUCGAGAGGAUCAACCCCAAACAUCAUCUAUAUCUCAACUCUUUGUCUGUAAACUAUUAUGCUUAUUACAAUUCAUAAUACAACUUUCAACAACGGAUCUCUUGGCUCUG
rnacentral:misc_RNA from 1 species